AACGCAUAUUGCGCCCCUUGUUACAGAGGGGCAUGCCUGUCUGAGUGUCUUUUAAACCAUAGGCUUCGGUCUGUUUUGGGCCUCGCGCCUCCGCGUGGCCUCGAAGUCAUUGCUGUCGAGCGGACGGGAUCCAUUAGGAUGGCGCCGCCUCGACUCUCGCGACAUUUCUCUGACGGACCUCAGAUCAGGUAGGACGACCGCCUGAACUUAA
rnacentral:misc_RNA from 1 species